rnacentral:tRNA from 1 species
GGACCCGUGGCUCAGUUGGUAGAGCGUCUCGUUUACACCGAGAAGGUCAAAGGUUCGAAUCCUUUCGGGUCCA